UUGGAGUCGGUGAGGGAUAACGAUAGCCUUGACAAAUAAUUUAUAAGUAAAUGACUAUUUUGCAAACAAAUAAUCAAAUACUGACACGUGGAGAACGGUGGUAGGAGUAGAUUUAUAUAUUAUUGUCUUUAUUAUUAUUAAUAUACAUUUUUUAUUAUAUAUUAUUUUUAUGAGGUUUAUCAUCUUCAAUUUUGGUUGAUCACUAUCUUUCUCCCAUAUCUCAACUCCAUUUUUUUUUCCUGAAUCCCAUAUCUCAACGGCUUGCUUUCCGAACAAAAGAGUGGUGGUGGUGACGAUUGGAGUAUCAGGCGAAGAAAUGGGGUUCAUCUUGGUGGUGUCACUGCCGUUGAUUUUGUUCAUAUUGAUCGUAGCCCUUGCUUUUUAUCUUCUUGGAAGGGCCCGGGGUCGCUCUGAAUCGACCCAUGUUACACAUUCUUAUGGGCCUCCCGCUCCUCCAUUCCAAGCCCAACUACCUCUCCAAGACAAAACAUAGCUGUAGGUCACAUUUGGAUUAGGGCCCAAUAAAAUUCUUAUUUACUUAUCAUCUUUGUUUUUAAAAAAUGUAUUUUGGAUAUGUUGAGACUUGAAACUGAGAGUAGGGAAUAAUAUAUUUUUAAAAGUUAUGUUAA